GCAGGGCCUACUGAGCCGCCCUCAAUGUACGUGUCCCCAAGAGUAAACACUUGGAUAUCCUGCUCCAAGAUUAACAACUACUAUGGCUGGUUCCAGCAGAAGGUUCCUGGCAGUGCCCCCGUCACUGUGAUCUAUGCUAAUGACAAGAGACCCUCGGACAUCCCUUCGCGAUUCUCCGGCUCCAAGUCCGGCUCCACGGGCACGUUAACCAUCACUGGGGUCCAAGCCGACGACGAGGCUGUCUAUUACUGUGGUUCCCUGGUCCAGGCAGCGCUGACUCAGCCGCCCUCGGUGUCAGCGAACCUGGGAGGAACCGUCCAGAUCACCUGCUCCGGGUUUAGCAGCAGCAGCUAUGCUUAUGCUUGCUG